GACGAACGCUGGCGGCGUGCCUAAUACAUGCAAGUUGAGCGCUGAAGGUUGGUACUUGUACCGACUGGAUGAGCAGCGAACGGGUGAGUAACGCGUGGGGAAUCUGCCUUUGAGCGGGGGACAACAUUUGGAAACGAAUGCUAAUACCGCAUAAAAACUUUAAACACAAGUUUUAAGUUUGAAAGAUGCAAUUGCAUCACUCAAAGAUGAUCCCGCGUUGUAUUAGCUAGUUGGUGAGGUAAAGGCUCACCAAGGCGAUGAUACAUAGCCGACCUGAGAGGGUGAUCGGCCACAUUGGGACUGAGACACGGCCCAAACUCCUACGGGAGGCAGCAGUAGGGAAUCUUCGGCAAUGGACGAAAGUCUGACCGAGCAACGCCGCGUGAGUGAAGAAGGUUUUCGGAUCAUAAAACUCUGUUGGUAGAGAAGAACGUUGGUGAGAGUGGAAAGCUCAUCAAGUGACGGUAACUACCCAGAAAGGGACGGCUAACUACGUG
rnacentral:rRNA from 1 species